rnacentral:misc_RNA from 1 species
GUGAAUCAUCGAAUUUUUGAACGCAAAUUGCGCUUCCUGGCAUCCCGGGGAGUAUGCCUGUUUGAGGGUCAGUAUUAACAACAAUCGGUUUGGUUGCAAAUUGUGACGUUUCCUGGGUUUGGGCUAUCUUAACUUUUUUGGUUAAGAGGCUUAAAAUUGACCCUAUUUGCGCAUUUUUAGACGUACAUAGAUUUUUUUUUUAUUCGUCUAUUCUUAUUGCAAAAAUCUUAUUAGAUACACUAACAUC